UACGAAGGGGGCUAGCGUUGCUCGGAAUCACUGGGCGUAAAGGGCGCGUAGGCGGCCAUUCAAGUCGGGGGUGAAAGCCUGUGGCUCAACCACAGAAUUGCCUUCGAUACUGUUUGGCUUGAGUUUGGUAGAGGUUGGUGGAACUGCGAGUGUAGAGGUGAAAUUCGUAGAUAUUCGCAAGAACACCAGUGGCGAAGGCGGCUCACUGGCCCGGUACUGACGCUGAUGCGCGAAAGCCAGGGGAGCGAACGGG
rnacentral:rRNA from 1 species